CGAGGUAGGAUCCUAAGGGGGUUGACUAAAAUUCAACCCUAAAAGGGUGCAUCUUUUAUCCUAUCUCCCUAGGCCUAAAAACCUUACACUACUUAACCCAUGAUACAAGGCUCAAAAGAAAAUUAUAUACUACUUGGUCCAUUAUACAAGGUCCAAAAGAAACCUAGUCUACUAAGAACAAAAACUCAGUAAUGAUCCAAGAGAAUAAGAGCCUGGGCCC
rnacentral:lncRNA from 1 species